GUUGAUCGGUCUUCCUUUUGUUGGCAGAGGAGGGACCUAGGGGGCUCCUUCCCCCGGCCCCAGGCUAGAGGAAAGGGGGCGGGGCGAGUAGGGGGAGAGCAGCGGCGCCCGCUCGCCAGGCUCCAUCCUGCUCGGGGCUGGCGCGGGUGUCCCCAGAUGCAGGCGGGACACCGAGCCCCUGAGCCCUGACAGAGCGGGCGAUGCAGGCCGAGGGCUCAGGAGCCGUGCCUCGCAGCCCUGAUGCUCCGGUCAAUAGGGCUACCAGGGCGGCUGUGAUAGAGGAAAAAUGUUAAAGGUCAGAAACCACGUGAGCGCUGGGCCUCAACUUUGUUCAGGAUAGAAGAGGCUUAAACAUAUCCUUGGGCAAAGGAGCGAGAAGUUGAAGAUGGAAAAGAGAAAGUGACGGUAGUCGAAGAAGCAAAGCCUCAGAGAAGGCUGGCAGGUGCCUUUGGGGAAUAAGCGGUGCUGGAACGGUUGGAGUACUCAGUUUUUUCGUCCACCUUCAUUUCCCUCAACUCUAAGUAACAGCUUUACAUGCUGGAAUAGGUUACCAUAGCAAUAUUUUCUAAGCAAUAGAUGGGCUGAAUUGCACUAUUGAAGAAGCUCAAGAGAAAAUAUGAAUAACAACCUGGGAGAGUCCAGCGUGCUACAGAGCCUCGAGGCUGUUAAAACAAGGGGCUCAAUGGAUUCCCUAGUGAUCGAUCAGAAAGGUGCGACCCGCAGGUCAUAUAAAGUGCAGUGUGGGCAGCUAUGGGUCACCCUCAGAACUCCCACCUCCUCAUCUCCAAGUGACCCAUCCACGAAGCUCAAAUGACAAAAGACAAAUUAAACAGGUUGGGGGGAGGAAUCUUUGAAAUUCAUAUCAAAAAGGGGUACUUGACAAAGCUCUCCUACAGGGCUCCUAGGAAGAUGGUGGUCACCCUGACAGAAUAAGUUUUUGAUUUUUCUGAAUCCCCACCUAAAAACAGAGCAGCCAGAGAGCAAAACAAAAAACCACAGACAGUAAUUACAUCAAAACAGAGCAGCCAGAGAGCAAAACAAAAAAAAACACAGACAAUAAUUACAACAAAAAGUAGGUUACAGAGUGUCCCGUUGAAUCCCAAAGCACAGGUGAGUGGGACAAAGCAGCAAACAGCCACAGACCUGCUGGUUAUUGGCAAAGUGCAGGAGGAAACAGUGGGAAAUAAUGCAACAGCUGAUGGAUCUAAGAACAGGAGAAGCCCAAAAAGAACAAACAGGGGGCCAAUUUGAGACCAGCAGCUGAAACUGGAGGUUUUCCCACUCUAUCGUGAGUGAGGGCAAGGUUGGAAGGGCUGGAGGAGUCCAAUCCCUUUGAACCCUUUUUUGGUAGCUCUAAUGAGAUAUAAUAUAUAUUACUAUACCAUUCAUGUACCAUACAAUUCACCCACUGAAAGUUUUUUUCACAUAUUCAGGGAGUUCUGCAACCAUCACCACAAUCAAUUUUAGAACAUUUCCACCGCCUCAAAAAUAAAGCCUGUACCCAUUAGCAGCCCCUACCCCCUGCCUCCAGCCUCUGGCAGUCACUAAUCUACUCUCUGUUUUUAUAAAUAUGCCUAUUCUGUAUCUUUCACAUAAAUGGAAUCAUACAAUAUGAAGCCUUUUGUGCCUGGCUUCUUUCACUUAGCAUGUUUUCAAGAUUUAUCCAUGUUGUCACGUGAACUAGUACUUCAUCCCUUUUUAUGGCCAAAUAAUAAUCCAUUGUAUGAAUAUACCACAUUUUAUUUAAAUAUUUGUCCAUUGACAGGCAUUUGGAUUGUUUCUGUUUGGGGGUGUUAUGAACAAUGCUGCUAUGAACAUUUGUGUACAAGUUUUUGUGUGGACACAUAUUUUCACUUCGCUUGGGAACAUACCUAGGAGUGGAAUUGUUGGGCCAAAUAGUAACUCAUGUUUAACUUUUUUGAGGAACUGCCAGGCUGUUUUCCAAAGCGUCUGCACCAUUUACAUUUUUAACAGCAGUGUAUGAAGGUUCUAAUUUCUCACAUCCUCAGUGACACUGGUUAUUGUCUGACUGUGGCUUGUAGCCAUCCUAGUAAGUGUGAACUGAUAUCUCAUUGUGGUUUUGAUUUUCAUUUCUCUGAUAACUAAUGAUGUCAUGAAGAUUUUCCUCCAUGUUGUCUUCUAAGAAUUUUACAGUUGCAGCUCUUACAUUUUGGUCUUUGAUCUAUUUUAGUUAAUUUCUGUAUAUGGUGUGAGGUAAGGGUCUAACAUAAUUUCUUUACGUGUGGAUAUCCAGUUGUCCCAGCACCAUUUUUUGAAGAGGAUGUUCUUUCCCCCAUUGAAUGGUCUUGGCAUCAAUGUCAAAAUCAACUGGCCAUGAAUAUAUGGGAUUAU